rnacentral:lncRNA from 1 species
UGUUGUUGCGCAGUUUUUGAAUCUUAUCUGCUUUUUCCCCUUUCUGGCUUUUCUCUAUUCUCCGUGUCCUCUGUUACCUUUGCUUUCUUGUCAUCAUUAUCUGGACACGUCCUUUCUUUCCUUUCCCCUGAACAUCUGUCAUUGCUAGCUUAGAGUCUAAUAUAACUCUAUCUUGUGUUAGGGCCUCAGACUUCCGGGUAUAUAUCAACGCCAGCUUUUCUUCAUUCUCGAACCCUCUGUUGGAGUAAGGGGUUCUUCCGUUUCCAGUUUUCUGUCUGCUUCCUUCUUCUGGCGAGAUUGUCCUGUUUUAUCUGCGAAGGAUCCAUUUGACGCCUUCUUCAAAUGGCUGGAGGUGAGCUUGAGUUUGUAUUGCUUUGUUACUCCAUAGAUUUGCUUUAAUCUUGCUUUUAUCAUCUUGAUAGAAAAUUGUUCUGACUUGUCUCUGUUUUGAAAUUUUUUUGCAGUACCUGAGAUAAAAAUGGGUCAGCUCAAAAUUUUUGAAAAUUUGAGGUUACCUCUAAGGAGUCUGAGCGUUGUUUUGGAGGUCCUUCUGGUAGGGAGGUCGACGGUUGAGACCAUUCGGCAGGUCGCUGGAACUAUUUCACCCAGGUCGUCUGGCCGGCCUCCUCCUUUGCUUGUUGUCCGGAUUCCGAAGAGGUUCUGGGGUGUUGAGGGGUUUGCUCUAAUUUUACCUUUCUUCGGGAGAGACAAGGAAAUUUCCC